GACGAACGCUGGCGGCGUGCUUAACACAUGCAAGUCGAACGAUGAAGCGGUGCUUGCACCGUGGAUUAGUGGCGAACGGGUGAGUAAUACGUGAGUGACCUACCUUUGACUCUGGGAUAAGCCUGGGAAACUGGGUCUAAUACCGGAUACGACCAAUCUCUGCAUGGGGUGUUGGUGGAAAGCGUUAUGGAGUGGUUUUAGAUGGGCUCACGGCCUAUCAGCUUGUUGGUGAGGUAAUGGCUUACCAAGGCGACGACGGGUAGCCGGCCUGAGAGGGUGACCGGUCACACUGGGACUGAGACACGGCCCAGACUCCUACGGGAGGCAGCAGUGGGGAAUAUUGCACAAUGGGCGCAAGCCUGAUGCAGCGACGCCGCGUGAGGGAUGACGGCCUUCGGGUUGUAAACCUCUGUUAGCAUCGAAGAAGCGAAAGUGACGGUAGGUGCAGAGAAAGCGCCGGCUAACUACGUGCCAGCAGCCGCGGUAAUACGUAGGGCGCGAGCGUUGUCCGGAAUUUAUUGGGCGUAAGAGCUUGNAGGCGGUUGGUCGCGUCUGCUGUGAAGGCCGGGGCUUAACUCCGGUUUUGCAGUGGGUACGGGCUAACUAGAGUGCAGUAGGGGAGACUGGAAUUCCUGGUGUAGCGGUGGAAUGCACAGAUAUCAGGAGGAACACCGAUGGCGAAGGCAGGUCUCUGGGCUGUAACUGACGCUGAGAAGCGAAAGCAUGGGGAGCGAACAGGAUUAGAUACCCUGGUAGUCCAUGCCGUAAACGUUGGGCACUAGGUGUGGGGGACAUUCCACGUUUUCCGCGCCGUAGCUAACGCAUUAAGUGCCCCGCCUGGGGAGUACGGCCGCAAGGCUAAAACUCAAAGGAAUUGACGGGGGCCCGCACAAGCGGCGGAGCAUGCGGAUUAAUUCGAUGCAACGCGAAGAACCUUACCAAGGCUUGACAUGCAUUAGAUCGCGUCAGAGAUGGCGUUUCCCUUCGGGGCUGGUGUACAGGUGGUGCAUGGUUGUCGUCAGCUCGUGUCGUGAGAUGUUGGGUUAAGUCCCGCAACGAGCGCAACCCUCGUUCUAUGUUGCCAGCGGUUCGGCCGGGGACUCAUAGGAGACUGCCGGGGUCAACUCGGAGGAAGGUGGGGAUGACGUCAAAUCAUCAUGCCCCUUAUGUCUUGGGCUUCACGCAUGCUACAAUGGCCGGUACAGAGGGUUGCGAUACUGUGAGGUGGAGCUAAUCCCUUAAAGCCGGUCUCAGUUCGGAUUGGGGUCUGCAACUCGACCCCAUGAAGUCGGAGUCGCUAGUAAUCGCAGAUCAGCAACGCUGCGGUGAAUACGUUCCCGGGCCU
rnacentral:rRNA from 1 species